CUACGGAGGGUGCAAGCGUUACUCGGAAUCACUGGGCGUAAAGCGCGCGCAGGCGGAUUGGCAAGUUGGAUGUGAAAGCCUGCGGCUCAACCGCAGAACUGCAUCCAAAACUGUCAGUCUAGAGUCUGGGAGAGGUAGCUGGAAUUAGUGGUGUAGGGGUAAAAUCCGUAGAGAUCACUAGGAAUACCGAAAGCGAAGGCGAGCUACUGGAACAGUACUGACGCUGAGGCGCGAAAGCGUGGGGAGCAAACAGGAUUAGAAACCCUAGUAGUCC
rnacentral:rRNA from 1 species